CCUACGUGCUUUGAUGUUUCUUUGGGGUUUCUUUGGUUAUGGAAUCAUGAGCAAACCAUCAGUUCAAACUCUGAGGACAGCAGGAUAGCCUGAUGGCUUUUUCUAUGUACUUUUUUUUUAACUCUGUUACUUUUUAGUCUUUGUUUUUUGGCUUGUUCAUUUUUUACCUAUGAGGUUUUCUUUUGAUUUCACAUUUUGUUCUCAGAUUACAAGAUGGCAAAGGCUACAUUUGGAAUUAAAUUUGCUUUCAAAUUGAUAGAUAGUGAUAGUUUGGGCUAGCCUUCGCUUAUUAUGAAAUGACAUCAUUAGUGGGCAAAAUGUGGGACCUUUUGCUUGCUCUUCAGCUCUUGGAAAUGGUAUAUGGGGUAUAAAGGAACCUGGCAGUAUCCCUCCCAUGUGACUGAUCUUCCUGAAAUGCAUUUAAUGAAAUGAUUCUUCACUUUUGAAUAUCAUGUCUAGCUCUCUGAAUAAGCAACAAUCAAGUCAAAAUGAAAAGAAAAUGAGUGAGCUGUGUGGAGGAACAAAGGAAAUCAAGGAGGGGCUAUCUGUGGGCAAAAUGGAAUGGCCCCCACUGGGGAGUUCUUGGCCAGGUGGGUUGGCUCCAAAGAAUUUGUGUCCAAUACUGGGAGUAAAGAAGAACAGAGAGUUUUACAUCCAUUGGACUUCCUUGGACCCAUCUGGGCAGCCUGGCCGUGACCCCUGGGUAACAGGGACCGUUUCACCCCCAUAGAGGGCUUGUGGAUACUGGCAUGUGGUAGUGUGCUAAGAUUUGGCCUAAGCCUAGGCUAAGAAAGGAGGCAGGCAGCUCUUAAGAGUCCAGGGCUCCUUAUCAUCUGAAGGUGUGUUAUUAAGUAGCACAUCACUUCUGUCCCAUGAAGAGAGGAUGCUUUCAAGGAUGGAGAGGGGCCUUGAAAGACUGAAAUUUAAGCAUAGAUUGCCUAAAGCUAUUUUGGAAAAGGGAUUUUGGGAAACACUAGGUUUUGUGGACGAUGCCUCAGUGUGGAUUAUGGAAUGUCAACCAAUAACAAAUGAAAUAUCACAAGACACAGAGAGUGGGAAUGAAGGAGAGAAGGGGAGGGACACAAAUCUAUUCCUAUCAAGCAAAGUUUUUGAAAAGAAAGAGGACAAUAUUUUUGAAAUUAAAACUGCAUUGAUAAAAACAAGAAAUGAAUUGGUGCAAUUCAAUGGUAUGAACUAAAGGUGCCCCAACAUGUUAUCCAAGAAGUGGGAAGGUGGUUAAAAUUCACUUGUUUGGACUGAGCUUCAGAGUUCCAGUGCCCCAGCCAGUCAAAAAUUGCACGAAGUUCAGCUAAAACUAUGAGCAGAGGGGUAUUGUCUCUGUUUUGGGUGCACAGGGAAGGAGGCAUUUGCAUUCUAGGGAGUUCCAAAUUAGGGGUUCAGAGUACAGGAUAACCAAGGCUAGGUUUGGAAUCGAAUUUCUUUUCCAGUGUUUGGAUAUUGGUAGUUUGGUGACAUUGUCUCUAAAGGAAGGGGGAUAUUCAGUGGACACCAUGUCCCAGGUUUCUUUGUCUUUUCAGCUGGGGGACAGAGCUUCUGCAAGGAGAAGGAACAUGUCAGUCCCAGUGGACCUGAUUGUUCUGGAACUAUUUUCCUGGAAAUUCUUUUUCAUUCUUGGGUUUCACAUCUGGCUCUUUGCAUAUGUAAAAGUAAAUGAAGGUAAUUGUCAGGGGUGGCUAACUUACAAUGCAAUAAGUGAGGAAUAUGGAGGAAAGAGGAAAUCACAACUGGGUCAUCUCUAGGUCAAAUGAAAUGUGGCCAGGGUAGAGCUACUGGCUGUUAGGUUUUGCUAGACUUUGUUGUGGAUGAAGGUUGAUGUGGAGAGAUGUGAAUCUUUCUCUGAUUUCCCCUUUGCCCCUUCCAGCCAGGGCUUCCUGGCUUCCAACCCUCUACACUGGGAAAUCAUUUACCUGCCUAUAAUGGCUGUGGUCAUGAGGAGGUGGUGCGAUGCCUGUGAUUUUUCCUGAAUUCAGGAGAGCAAUCCAGGGUGGAAGCCCUUGGAUUAGAGAGUGGCUUAGCAUCCUGUGGUACAGCAUCAAACGUAUUCAUUUUACACAAAAGAGUAUGCUUUGGAGGAUGGAGGGGAGCUAUGACAGACUGGGGUCAACUUAGGGAUUCCUUGUCCCAUGUUGGAAAAGGAGGUGGUGCAGGGAUCUGGAUCUGAGGGUGAUUGUGGAUAUGCUGCUAUGUCAAGGCAAACAUUCACUAAGCAGGUAUCAGAAAGCAGACUGAGGAUGAGGAGAAGGGAAAUUAGAAGACUGAAAAAAAUCAAGCAAAUGCAUGAUCAAAAAUUAAGCAAAAUUUUGUAUAUAUUCAAAGAAAAUGUAAUGGAGAGGAAAAGGUGACUGAUAUUAGAAAAUUAGGGUGGGUAAGUUUCUUUUCCUUUGCAAUAGUUUGGGGAGGAAUGUAAAUACUUUCCUUUAUUUUAAACUAUUAUUUCUUUGAUUGUGUGAUAAUGAAGAAACCAUCAAUUUACAUUGUGCCAAAAGCCAGAAAGGCUGACUUCUUCCUUUCUUUCUGCUUCCUUUCCUUUCUUCCUUCCUUCUGUUCUACCUUCCUUCCUUUUUUCUUUCCUUCCUGCUUCCUUUCUUUUCAUUUUUUCCUUACUUCCUUCAGCCUUUCCUUUUUUCUUCCCUCCCUCCUUCCUUCUCCCCUUUCCUUCCUUCCUGAUUCUUUUCCUUUCUUUAGUAGUCCUUUCUAUCUUCCUUCUUUCUUUUUUCCUUUCCUUCCUUCUUUCCUCACCUCCUUCCUUCUUUCUUCUUUCCCUCCUUCCUUCUUUUUACCUUUCUUCUGUCUUUUCUUCCUGCUUCCUUUUCUUUCCUUCUUUCAUUCCUGAUUCUUUUUCUUUCUUUUUUUUCCCUUUCAUCAGCCCUUCAUUUUAUCCUUCCUUCCUUCCUUCUUCCUUCCUUCCUUCCUUCCUUCCUUCUUCCUUCCCUCCUUCCUUCCUUCCUUCCUUCCUUCCUUCCUUCCUUCCUUCCUUCCUUCCUUCCUUCCUUCCUUCCUUCCUUCUUUCCUUCCCUCCUUCCUUCCUUCCCUCCUUCCCUCCUUCCUCCUUCCCUCUCUUUCUUUUUAUUUUCUUUUGCAAGAGAGUUGGUAUUAUCUGAGCAGCCUCGCCAUGACCACUGGGUAAUGGGGAAUAUUUCACCCCCAUAGAGGGCUUGUGGAUACUGGCAUGUGGUAGUGUGCUAAGAUUUGGCCUGAGCCCAGGGUAAGAAAGGAGGCAGGCACUCUUAAGAGUCCAGGGCUCCUUAUCAUCUGAAGGUAUGUUAUUAAGUAGCACAUCACUUCUGUCCCAUGAAGAGAGGAUGCUUUCAAGGAUGUAGAGGGGCCUUGAAAGACUGAAAUUUAAGCAUAGAUUGCCUAAAGCUAUUUUGGAAAAGGGAUUUUGGGAAACCCUAAGUUUUGUGGACGAUGCCUCAGUGUGGAUUAUGGACUGUCAACCAAUAACAAAUGAAAUAUCACAAGACACAGAGAGUGGGAAUGAAGGAGAGAAGGGGAGGGACACAAAUCUAUUCCUAUCAAGCAAAGUUUUUGAAAAGAAAGAGGACAAUAUUUUUGAAAUUAAAACUGCAUUGAUAAAAACAAGAAUUGAAUAGGUGCAAUUCAAUGGUAUUAACUAAAGGUGCCCCAACAUGUUAUCCAAGAAGUGGGAAGGUGGUUAAAAUUCACUUGUUUGGACUGAGAUUCAGAGUUCCAAAGCCUCAGUCAUUUAAAAAUUGCACGAAGUUCAGCUAAAACUAUGAGCAGAGGGGUAUUGUCUGUUUUGGGUGCACAGGGAAGGAGGCAUUUGCAUUCUAGGGAGUUCCAAAUUAGGGGUUCAGAGUACAGGAUAACCAAGGCUAGGUUUGGAAUCGAAUUUCUUUUCCAGUGUUUGGAUAUUGGUAGUUUGGUGACAUUGAUUCUAAAGGAAGGAGGAUAUUCAGUGGACACCAUGCCCCAGGUUUCUUUGUCUUUUCAGCUGGGGGACAGAGCUUCUGUAGGGAGAAGGAACAUGGCAGUCCCAGAUGAUAUGGACUUGAUUGUUCUGGAACUAUUUUCCUGGAAAUUCCUUUUCCUUUUUGGAUUUCAAAUCUAGGUCUUUGCAUAUGAAAAUAUGCAAAUGUAAAUGAAAAUAAUUGUCAAGGGGGGCUAAAUUACAAUGCAGUAAGUGAGAAAUAUGGAGGAAAUAGGAACUCACAACUGGAUCAACUUUAGGUUAAAUGAAACGUGGCCAGGGUGGAGCUGCUGGCUAUUAGAUAUUGCUAGACUUUGUUGUAGAUGAAGGUUGAUGUGGAGAGAUGUGAAUCUUUCUCUGAUUUCCCCUUUCCCUAUUCUGGCCAGGGCUUCCUGGCUUCCAACCCUCUGCACUGGGAAAUCAUUUACCUGCCUAUAAUGGCUGUGGUCAUGAGAGGUGAUGUGAUGCCUGUGAUUUUUCCUGAAUUCAGGAGAGCAAUCCAGGGUGGAAGCCCUUGGAUUAGAGAGUGGCUUAGCAUCCUGUGGUACAGCAUCAAACGUAUUCAUUUUAUACAAAAGAGUAUGCUUUGGAGGAUGGAGGGGAGCUAUGACAGACUGGGGUCAACUUAGGGAUUCCUUGUCCCAUGUUGGAAAAGGGAGUGGAGCAGGGAUCUGGAUCUGAGGGUGAUUGUGGAUAUGCUGCGAUGUCAAGGCAAACAUUCACUAAGCAGGUAUCAGAAAGCAGACUGAGGAUGAGGAGAAGAGGGAAAUUAGAAG